UGCUGUUCGCCAUUCCAAUGGAUACUAGACAGGCUGACUGAAUAGUAUAACCGGAGAGCAACAUUGCGCGAUGUGCGCGUGUUUGCAAUCCUAGCCUAGUCAGCCCCAAACGUUUUGUGCCCUGCCGUUCAGUUGGUUUCCGAUGCUGGUGCUAGCGAACAGAGGAAUGGAGGACAAAGGACGAAGGAAGAAUUGGGACACAUCCAAUGCAGUGGCCAAAUACGGGGACGUGCCAGUGGACAGAAACGAGAUGCACCAUACAUACUAGUUAUCAAACACAGCUGGUGUGCCACAGUUUCCGGUAGGGAUGGUCUGAUCUGAUUGUACGCAGUCCAGUGGAAGCGUGUUCCACGUUUGUCUGUGAAGAAGUAUCCAAGACAUUCGGCGCGAAAAAUAUACUUACACAUCCACACACACACACACACAGACACACACAUACACAUGCAAAAAGCACACAUGAUACACACAUUCAUCAUGCGUGAUCAUUGCGUGCAUCGUGCUCGUCCUGCUGCUCUUCAGCUCCUUCUACACUCCACAUACGGUUCCUGCAACACACAACACUCAUCAACAUCAUCGGACGUGGGAAUGGAAGAAUAAUUAAGAUCAUGCAUGAUCAGCCUCAUUGAAGAAAGGCUCUCAUCGAUGUGCAGAGACGAAGCUGUGAAGCACAGAACACUCUGAUGAGGAUCCUUUUUUUCCUUCACGAAUUUCGACACGUGGCCAUAAAGUUUCGGAUUUUCAGAAUAGUUGCACAACAAACGAUAGUUGACGACAGAGGGAGAACAAGAGUAGCGGAGAAAAAGAAAAAUACAGGCAGAGAGAGAGAGAGAGAGAGAGAGAGAAAGGCAGAGAAAAGGAGUAGCUGGAGUCAUCGGCAUGAUAAAGAAAAUCGAUCAGCGUGUGCAUAAAAUCCGGCCAAUGAUAAGCUUUUGUGAGAAGUAUCCUUACAAGAACACAUUAAUACACCGAACACACCAUCAUAUGACACGCACAUACACAGACACAUACAUCACACGUUGAACAAAUUUUCACAACAAAGUGGGAAAAAGGGAAACACUGAUAAAGGACGAAAUGACGGCAGAUGGUGCUGAUCACGGAACGUUACGUGGUGGGGGAGGAGGGCUUAAGGGGAAUACUUAGGCAAUAGUGUGCACUUUAGAAGGGAUGGGACCAAAAUGACGAUGAAUAACGUGCCACAGGUGGCAGUGUUCUUCCUCUCCUCCCUCACCAGUUAGCGCGUUACACGUUGUAGUGGACAGAAUUCAUUGGCUAAGCUACUGUCUAGUGGUCGAUGAAUGAUUACGACCACAUUAUUUCAUUUGUUUGCGGACCUCGCUGUCUCGAUGCGUUCCCGAUUUUCGCUACCACUACCCACUAAUGAUGUGUCAGCUCAAGAUCAAAUGUUUCUCUUGUUUUGCGUUUGUUGUAUAGUUUUCCGAGUGAAAUUCUUUAUUUAUACUCCCACACUUGCGCAAUCAUCUCCGCGCCACCCUUCUGCUGGGCGGUAUUUCUCAUAGGAAAACAAAACAAACAGAAGAGAACAAAACUAAUCUGCUAAUAAUCAUCCUAAAUGUGUAUGCAGCAUUAAAUCUAGACUCCUUCUUUUAAGCAAAACGCCUAAGCCUCCCUUUUCUGCACGUUGUUGCCUCUAUAACACUGUUAUAUCCCUUUCGCUAUGUACGCUUUACACGCUUCGAUCUGCCAAAAACCGUAAUACAAUAGAUGUACAAAACGAGCGUGUGCACAAUGGACCAAAUGUUGAACAAUUCUGUUUUUGCCGUAA